GAUGAACGCUGGCGGCGUGCCUAAUACAUGCGAGUCGAGCGAACAGAUGAGGAGCUUGCUCCUCUGACGUUAGCGGCGGACGGGUGAGUAACACGUGGAUAACCUACCUAUAAGACUGGGAUAACUUCGGGAAACCGGAGCUAAUACCGGAUAAUAUAUUGAACCGCAUGGUUCAAUAGUGAAAGACGGUUUUGCUGUCACUUAUAGAUGGAUCCGCGCCGCAUUAGCUAGUUGGUAAGGUAACGGCUUACCAAGGCAACGAUGCGUAGCCGACCUGAGAGGGUGAUCGGCCACACUGGAACUGAGACACGGUCCAGACUCCUACGGGAGGCAGCAGUAGGGAAUCUUCCGCAAUGGGCGAAAGCCUGACGGAGCCACGCCGCGUGAGUGAUGAAGGUCUUCGGAUCGUAAAACUCUGUUAUUAGGGAAGAACAAAUGUGUAAGUAACUAUGCACGUCUUGACGGUACCUAAUCAGAAAGCCACGGCUAACUACGUG
rnacentral:rRNA from 1 species